rnacentral:rRNA from 1 species
GACGUAGGGGACGAGCGUUGUCCGGAAUUAUUGGGCGUAAAGGGCUCGUAGGCGGUCUGUUGCGUCAGGAGUGAAAACUCGGGGCUUAACCCCGAGCCUGCUUCUGAUACGGGCAGACUAGAGGUAUGCAGGGGAGAACGGAAUUCCUGGUGUAGCGGUGAAAUGCGCAGAUAUCAGGAGGAACACCGGUGGCGAAGGCGGGUCUCUGGGCCGAAAUUGACGCUGAGGAGCGAAAGCGUGGGGAGCAAACAGG